CAAUAAGGUACCUCUUAAUAAUUUACUAUUAAAUGGCAUUAACUGGUUGACAGACAAGUUAAAUAUUACAAUACUUGUCUUUUCUCAAUAAAGCACAUUCAAAUAUACUAAAACAAAUCACAUAAACUCUCUGAUGUUUAAAAAAUUACUUUUAUCCCUUUAACAUUGUGUCUAUACUAUCUAUGUGCUUUGUGUUAUAAGGCAUCCUUGUGUUAUCACAAUAGUUUGUUCUCUCUGCUUCUUUCAGGUCAAACAUCUACGAGAUCUUUCAGUUGUAAUCAUGUGAGGAAUAGAGCAAAGAAACAUUAAAACGGAGGGCUUUGGCACUAC
rnacentral:lncRNA from 1 species